rnacentral:rRNA from 1 species
GUAGUCCACGCUGUAAACGAUGAAUGCCAGCCGUUAGUGGGUUUACUCACUAGUGGCGCAGCUAACGCUUUAAGCAUUCCGCCUGGGGAGUACGGUCGCAAGAUUAAAACUCAAAGGAAUUGACGGGGGCCCGCACAAGCGGUGGAGCAUGUGGUUUAAUUCGACGCAACGCGCAGAACCUUACCAGCCCUUGACAUCCCGGUCGCGGACUCCAGAGACGGAGUUCUUCAGUUCGGCUGGACCGGAGACAGGUGCUGCAUGGCUGCCGUCAGCUCGUGUCGUGAGAUGUUGGGUUAAGUCCCGCAACGAGCGCAACCCCCGUCCUUAGUUGCUACCAUUUAGUUGAGCACUCUAAGGAGACUGCCGGUGAUAAGCCGCGAGGAAGGUGGGGAUGACGUCAAGUCCUCAUGGCCCUUACGGGCUGGGCUACACACGUGCUACAAUGGCGGUGACAAUGGGAUGCUAAGGGGCGACCCUUCGCAAAUCUCAAAAAGCCGUCUCAGUUCGGAUUGGGCUCUGCAACUCGAGCCCAUGAAGUUGGAAUCGCUAGUAAUCGUGGAUCAGCAUGCCACGGUGAAUA